UAAGACGAAGGAUGCAAGCGUUAUCCGGAUUCAUUGGGUUUAAAGGGUGCGUAGGCGGGCUUGUAAGUCAGUGGUGAAAUCUCUCAGCUUAACUGAGAAACUGCCAUUGAUACUGCAGGCCUAGAGUAUAGAUGACGUUGGCGGAAUAUGACAUGUAGUGGUGAAAUACUUAGAUAUGUCAUAGAACACCGAUUGCGAAGGCAGCUAACGAAACUAUAACUGACGCUGAGGCACGAAAGUGCGGGGAUCAAACAGGAUUAGAUACCCUGGUAGUCCGCACCGUAAACGAUGAUUACUCGUUGUUGGCGAUAUGACAGUCAGCGACCAAGCGAAAGCGAUAAGUAAUCCACCUGGGGAGUACGCCGGCAACGGUGAAACUCAAAUGAAUUGACGG
rnacentral:rRNA from 1 species